GCUCUUGAUUGAAGUCCCAGUAAACGGCGGCCGUAACUAUAACGGUCCUAAGGUAGCGAAAUUCCUUGUCGGGUAAGUUCCGACCUGCACGAAUGGCGUAACGAUGGCCACACUGUCUCCUCCUGAGACUCAGCGAAGUUGAAGUGUUUGUGAUGAUGCAAUCUACCCGCGGCUAGACGGAAAGACCCCAUGAACCUUUACUGUAGCUUUGCAUUGGACUGUGAACCGGCCUGUGUAGGAUAGGUGGGAGGCUUUGAAGCGUGGUCGCUAGAUCACGUGGAGCCAUCCUUGAAAUACCACCCUGGUUUGUUUGCGGUUCUAACCUUGGUCCGUUAUCCGGAUCGGGGACAGUGCAUGGUGGGCAGUUUGACUGGGGCGGUCUCCUCCCAAAGUGUAACGGAGGAGUUCGAAGGUACGCUAGGUACGGUCGGAAAUCGUGCUGAUAGUGCAAUGGCAUAAGCGUGCUUGACUGUGAGACUGACAAGUCGAACAGGUGCGAAAGCAGGACAUAGUGAUCCGGUGGUUCUGAAUGGAAGGGCCAUCGCUCAACGGAUAAAAGGUACUCUGGGGAUAACAGGCUGAUACCGCCCAAGAGUUCAUAUCGACGGCGGUGUUUGGCACCUCGAUGUCGGCUCAUCUCAUCCUGGGGCUGUAGCCGGUCCCAAGGGUAUGGCUGUUCGCCAUUUAAAGAGGUACGUGAGCUGGGUUUAAAACGUCGUGAGACAGUUUGGUCCCUAUCUGCCGUGGGCGUUGGAUACUUGACGGAGCCUGCUCCUAGUACGAGAGGACCGGAGUGGACGUACCUCUGGUGUACCGGUUGUCAUGCCAAUGGCAUUGCCGGGUAGCUAAGUACGGAAGAGAUAACCGCUGAAGGCAUCUAAGCGGGAAACUCGUCUGAAGAUUAGGUAUCCCGGGGACUUGAUCCCCCUGAAGGGUCGUUCGAGACCAGGACGUUGAUAGGUCGGGUGUGGAAGCGCAGUAAUGCGUUAAGCUAACCGAUACUAAUUGCCCGUGAGGCUUGAUCCU
rnacentral:rRNA from 1 species